rnacentral:rRNA from 1 species
UAAAGCGCACGCAGGCGGUCUGUCAAGUCGGAUGUGAAAUCCCCGGGCUCAACCUGGGAACUGCAUUCGAAACUGGCAGGCUUGAGUCUUGUAGAGGGGGGUAGAAUUCCAGGUGUAGCGGUGAAAUGCGUAGAGAUCUGGAGGAAUACCGGUGGCGAAGGCGGCCCCCUGGACAAAGACUGACGCUCAGGUGCGAAAGCGUGGGGAGCAAACAGGAUUAGAUACCCUGGUAGUCCACGCCGUAAACGAUGUCUACUUGGAGGUUGUGCCCUUGAGGCGUGGCUUCCGGAGCUAACGCGUUAAGUAGACCGCCUGGGGAGUACGGCCGCAAGGUUAAAACUCAAAUGAAUUGACGGGGGCCCGCACAAGCGGUGGAGCAUGUGGUUUAAUUCGAUGCAACGCGAAGAACCUUACCUGGUCUUGACAUCCACGGAAGUUUU